CCCACUCAAUCGCCAACCUCUCCCCGCAUCUACACAUUUCCAAUCAACCUCCUUCCCCUUCUCUAUGCCCAAGCACAACUCCUGGCGAUGGAUCCCGGUCGGCAACUGCCACCAGCGCACCUACCGACGGCGGAUCUGGGCAGGCAACCGCCCCCAACGCCCGAAAAAAAGCAUUCCCGAUCCCUACCCAACCCACCUCCCAGACGAGCACCCACCAAUCCCAGCCCUCGCUUGCACUCCUCCUCCUACCUCCGGCUCACCGGCACCCGAUGCGCCCUGCCCGCGCCCCUCGUUGCCUCCCCUAGAAUCUCCAACUCUCCAUCCCUCCUCGUACAAUGCUGACGCGCAGAUAUCCUGCGCCCCCAACACCCGAGCUCCCCCUGCAUUCCCGGCGGCCAUCCUCUUCCUGUCGGGGUCGCCUCCCCUCGAUCUCGGACACGGCGAGGUGUUGCACUAGUGUGGUGGCCGCCAAAGGUUUCCCUUCCUCCGGAUCCGGCGGCCAUGGAGGGGGGUGGUGGGUUGGGGGAUUCAUGGUCCGUGCGUGCGCCCCAUCCGGUGACUUCAGUGCGUCUCCACCUCCCUGCACGGCCGCCGUAGGAGAUCGAGCGCCACCUACAUCCAGGCGCGCCGAUCCCCUGCUUGUGGCCAUGUCUAUUUGCAGUUCUCAGUGGACCACGGCGAGUCGGCAAUGCGCCCAUGUGCAGUUCAGUUGGCGGUAGGUUUUCAUGAGCUGGCACAACCAUCCUCUAUCCAUUGCCGAAUCCCGCAACCACUUCAUCUUGCCCACCAUCCUCUCCUGCUCCGCCUUGAAGCACGACCGGCAUAGAGGUCCAUUGGGGUCGAGGUUUUGGCCACAGCAUCUUGCAGCCUGGGCAAGCAUGGCAAGCAGCUCAUAGGCGUGCGCAUGUGAUGUUCGAUGCCUUAUCGUCGUUCCUCUAGCAAGGUCCCGAGUGCCUGUUCCUCCACUACCGGGUACUUCAUCCCCCUCGAGUACCUUCUCCUGCAAAAUCGAGUAGGUUCUUGGUCAUCUUGCACCUCGUGUCCGUCUUUGUUGUUGAAUUUGGUUCUCGUGGCGGUGAAUUCUGCACGUAUUGGGGAUCGAAGGUGUUUAACUAUUAUGCUCGCUAUUGACACGUAGCCAGUCUCCUACAGUUUUGUGGGUGCCUCACUUUUGCAUGCAUGCAUCGAUGGGAUGUUGGUUCCGAUUGUCUUCAUGGUGUUUCUCUUCAUGCAUAAUUCGGCUGGAGCCCAUGGAGGUUCAGAUUCUUAUUUGGGCGUUCAUAUUUGCAGUACAAUACAUUUGUGUGGUACUAAAAAUGGUUGUAUGUUCUAGUGCUUUGUUUUUUGCAUUCAAUAAUUUAUGCCUUGAGCAGUGCAGUUAACUAUUGGGUGAUGUACUCUUGACUUUGUUGUGUAGUGCAGUCACUUGUAGGCAUGAGAUUUUGCUGAAGUAGUGCACACAGCAGGUGCGUGCGUGCGGCCAUCCUCGACUCCCCAGGUUCACAGAGGCAACCCCAUGGGCACUGGAUGCCGACGACGGAGAGAGGCUACCCCAUAGGUUCACAGAGGCUACCCCAGGCUAUUCGGUUGUGCCUCUUCAUGACCCGUCCCCAUCGAAGGACACCCCGUGCUAAUCAUCUCCCCUUGUAGUCCACACACCGGAUGCGAGUAGAGCAUCUGUUGGCUCGGUGCAUCUCACUCCGUCACAUAUUACGCCUUUUUUGCAGAUUGUUUGUAACUCACUUCGGCGCCUCUGCGGUAUGUGGCGCAUACAGGUGCAGUGCAGCAGACACAUGCGUGCAGUCCGCCGGCAGAAACAUGCAUGCUCACACCCCCUUGUGGUUUGCGGUCUGAAUUCCUUAUGUGCGUUCAACUUUUGUUUUCUGUCAUUGGGAGGCAAAGAUGCUGCAGUGCGGUUCACGGGAUGAUGACGAAAAAAUUGUAUUUUGUUUGAGGGUGACACACCCCCAUGCGAUUCGCUUGGCGCGGCAGCACAGUUUAUGCGCUUCCAGGGUCCACUUUUUUUGAGGAUCCACUUGUUUGUAUUGUAGACAAAAAUGGUGAGAAAACUUGUCAAAAAUCAUUGUAGUUCAUUGUUAAACUUAAUGAAAAAAUAACGUUUGCCUAAUCUACUGAGUUUGUUAAACUGUUGUUGGCAACUGAUGUGCUUGGAAGUGGCUUGGUA